GGCCCGGCUGCCCGCGGCGAUGCCUGCGGUUGUUGCGUUGCGGGAACUCAGCGCAGCCUGCAGAGAGCGGUCCGGCGGCACGGGAAGAUGGAGGCCGUGCGGUGCGAGUGCCUCAGCGGUGUGUGCAGCCCGCGAGGAGCCGAGCGGGGCCGGGAAAAGGAAGCCGUGGGAGUCCCGGGGAGGGACGCGCGAUGGCAGCGUCAGCGGCGGGCUCGGCUGCUGCCUCCUCCGCUCCUGACGCCGCGCGCUGGCGCACUUUGAGAAGCGCCCAGAAGCCGGAGCCCGCUGUCACAUCUGUGGGGUUCCACGGAACGCGCAGACGUGGGCUGCCAGCUGCUGGUGGACCUGAAUGAGAAGAGAUUGACCCAAAACUCGAAUGAUGAGGACAAUGCACGUCUGCUUUUCCUGCUUGAGAAAAUCCAACUGAAUGCCAGCUCACAGAGGAAGUAUUUUUCCAGAUAAACUCUCUGGGCAUGCUGUUCUCUCCUGGUUGAACCCAAAGGUUCCACCCAUGCAGAGGUUAUUCCUGUGCCCGUCUUCCAAAGCCCAGGCUCCAUGAAGGCACAGAUGAAGAUGCCAUCACUGACGGCUUGACCAAACUCAAUGCUUCCCAACGUCAGCGAGUUCUGAUCACCUACAAGAGCACUCCUGCAGUUCAGAGCAGUUGUUGAUGCAAGGAGGGUUGGAGCCUGAAGAGAAGUGGUGAGCAGCUCAGUUCCUUCUGUCCUCGAAGGCCGCACCUUCUGCCAGCUCCUUUCUCCUCUCUUGGCCUUCUAGGGUUUGAUCGAUGACUGGAAGUGACUUGAAGCUGAGUGGGAAUUCUGAGAGGGUGAUGACUGGGAUGAUGACUGCCAGCACCGUGUGUGACGUGCAGAACUAAGGAGGGCUGUGAAGGUUUGGAAGUCUUCCUUUCGAAUGGCUCAAGUUCUGGCCAAGGACUUGCUGCUUUGUUAUGUAUGCCUUCUUAUUUAUUAACUCUUAAAGAAACCUGGCUGCACGUCACAAGCAGGUGCUGGUAUCUGAAAUCUUGCUUGGCGAUUCCCUAGGGAGCAGGAACAGGUGAAGGCUGCCUGAUUGAAAUUCUGGCUUCUCGCACCAGUGAAGAGAUUGGUCGCAUUGAUGAGAACUGCGAGCUUCAAGGAGCCCAAAGCACACCUGAGCUGCGUUUCGCUGUCUUUGUGAGCUGUGUUCCCUUUGAAGGACUCCAUUAUCCAUCUCCAGCACCCGUUCCUGAAUGGGGAGUUCUCAGGAGUUGCUUCCAGUAGAUGCUCUGGUGAACCGAGUCUUCUCUCCUUGGGUCCUUGCAGGGAACAGAGGUCAGUUGUCCAUCUCAACAUCCAGCGCAGGAACAACAUUUCAUUCCCACAGUGCAUAAUGCUGUGAAGGCAUCGCAGGCCGCCCGCUCGUCUCCGCUGUGCUCAGGGGCUUUGCUGAGCUGCAGGCCCAGCGCUGCAGCCCCACAGCGCAGCCUCACGUCUGGUGACGGACUGCAGCUGGAAAACCCUGGCAGCGGAGGACGCUCCUGCCCCACAGAAGGACUCGCAGCUCCAGCGCCCUCAGUGCUGGAAGGAGGCUGCGGUGCCUCCACGCGAUGGAUGCGGUCCACCCGACAGCUCGUGUGGCUCACCGUGCGAGGCCAGCAGGAAGAAAGGUGGGCACGGGAUUAUCAUGAGCUCUAGAUAUGCAGCUAAAAGAGUCUGAAAACCAGGAGUCCAAACCCUUGUGUGUGGAAGGCCCACCUAGUUACCCAGCUCCCGAGCAAAGAAAAGGAAGAAUCAAGUCUUCAGUCAGCACACACACUCCAGUCAGUCAGCUCCGCAAUAAAAGCUACCUUUUCCAUGCACCUCCACUUACGUGUGGCAGAAAAGUGUUCUGGGCAUUCAGCACAUUGGAUUCACAUUCAAUUAGCAAUCCAAACUCCAAACAGUUAUUUAUGAUUUCUUCUCUCCUUCUGCAGUCUCGUUUCCUCAAAGGGCGCUGCUUUACCCUGACUGGGCUGGCUCCUGCUUUUACCUUCACUGCUAUUGGGGCUGCAUUUUUGGCUCUGCCAGGCAUCCCUGGUAGCCACACUCCUAAGUGCACGUGGUGUAAGAUUUCUGUAACUUCUGGGGGGACGACCUUGUUUUUCCCAGGUUGUGUUAAAGCCAGAGGAGGGGGAGAUGGUGGGGAGGGAAUGGGGUGAGGGGUGGGCGAUGGGGAGCUGGAAGGGAUGGAGUGGGGGGUGUGGGGGAGGAGAGCAGAAUGGAGGACGUGGAAAGAGAUGGAUGGAGAACAGGGGAGAGGAUGGGUGGAGAAGAGGAUGGGUGGAAAACGUGGAAGGAGAGAUGGACAGAAGCGAAGGGAUGGAGAACAAGGGACCAAAGCACCAAACCCCUCUCACCUUUGGGCCCAGCUUCUUCUUCAGUGCAGCUCCUGCGGCAGGCAGGGCCUCAGCUCUUCCCACAUUCCUCCCUUCCUGCAAGGUUGCUUUUUUUCACGCCUACUUUGCUGUGCUAUGGGUAGCUUUCCUACUUGCUUUCCUGUAUAUGUUACCAUCCAUUGCUUUUCACUUUUUAUUCUCUUUUUGUUUCAUUAUUUUCCCUUCAACCCUCCCCACCCCCUCUCUCCUCUCCUCACCCCUACCUCCCAUUUUUUCCUCCCCUCCCCCCCCUACUCUUUCCUCACCUUAUGGCAAACUUUCCCAAAUAGCUGCAGGCUUCUCCAAGUGCAGAUUUGCCU